rnacentral:tRNA from 1 species
UAAUUGAAACCAAAGUAGAGGUAUAUCACUGUUAAUGAUAAUAAUAAGAAAUCUUCAAUUAAAG